rnacentral:rRNA from 1 species
UGGGGAAUCUUGCGCAAUGGGCGAAAGCCUGACGCAGCAACGCCGCGUGGGGGAUGAAGGCUCUCGGGUUGUAAACCCCUUUCAGCAGGGACGCGGUACCUGCAGAAGAAGCCCCGGCCAACUACGUGCCAGCAGCCGCGGUAACACGUAGGGGGCAAGCGUUGUCCGGAUUUAUUGGGCGUAAAGAGCUCGUAGGCGGCUCGGUAAGUCGGGUGUGAAACUCAGGGCUUAACCCUGAGACGCCACUCGAUACUGCUGGGCUAGAGUCCGGUAGGGGAGCGUGGAAUUCCUGGUGUAGCGGUGAAAUGCGCAGAUAUCAGGAGGAACACCAGCGGCGAAGGCGGCGCUCUGGGCCGGUACUGACGCUGAGGAGCGAAAGCGUGGGGAGCAAACAGGAUUAGAUACCCUGGUAGU